rnacentral:rRNA from 1 species
UGGGGAAUAUUGCACAAUGGGCGCAAGCCUGAUGCAGCCAUGCCGCGUGUAUGAAGAAGGCCUUCGGGUUGUAAAGUACUUUCAGCGAGGAGGAAGGCAUUAAGGUCAUAAACCUUGGUGAUUGACGUUACUCGCAGAAGAAGCACCGGCUAACUCCGUGCCAGCAGCCGCGGUAAUACGGAGGGUGCAAGCGUUAAUCGGAAUUACUGGGCGUAAAGCGCACGCAGGCGGUCUGUCAAGUCGGAUGUGAAAUCCCCGGGCUCAACCUGGGAACUGCAUCCGAAACUGGCAGGCUAGAGUCUUGUAGAGGGGGUAGG